CCAUGUGGUUUCGAGCACAUGGGGUUGUAGGGCUCCGAUACGUGAUCCAGUGAUUAGAUAGCAGAACAGUCUGGAAAGGCUGACCAUAGACGGUGACAGUCCAGUACGCGAAAUCGAAAACGGCACACGGAGUACCUGAGUAGGACGGGACACGAGAAAUCCCGUUUGAAUCUGGGAGGACCAUCUUCCAAGGCUAAAUACUACCUGACGACCGAUAGCGAACCAGUACCGUGAGGGAAAGGUGAAAAGAACCCCUGUUAGGGGAGUGAAAUAGAACCUGAAACCAAUUGCCUACAAGCAGUUCGAGUCCGGCACUCAACUUGAGAUACAAGGACAAUAUAAGAGGAGACAGUAUGUACUUUGUUUAUUUGUUAAUAAAUGAAUCAGGAGGACGGUAUAUCGGUUUUACCGACAAUCUUGAAAGACGUCUUGGUGAACACAAUAAAGGAUUAAACAAAAGUACACGAGGGCAUGUUUGGAAAGUGGCUUAUUACGAAGCCUAUACAGCAAGCAAAGAUGCCCGGCGAAGAGAAAGGAAUCUAAAAAAAUCAGGUCAAGCUCGGCGUUGGUUAUAUGAGCGAGCGAGUGAAAGUCUUUGUAUUUGAAGUUGAGUGCCGGAUGAGAGCGUGCCUUUUGCAUAAUGGGCCAGCGAGUUAAUUUGUACUGCAAGGUUAAGCUGAGAAAGUGCAGCCGUAGCGAAAGCGAGUCUUAAUAGGGCGACUUAGUAGUGCGGAUUAGACCCGAAGCCGGGUGAUCUAUCCAUGAGCAGGCUGAAGCUUGAGUAAAAUCAAGUGGAGGGCCGAACCAUUGUAAGUUGAAAAUUACUUGGAUGACUUGUGGAUAGGGGUGAAAGGCCAAUCAAACCCGGUGAUAGCUGGUUCUCCCCGAAAUAUAUUGAGGUAUAGCCUCAGGCGUUUAUUAACGGAGGUAGAGCACUGACAGGGCUAGGGGUCCUACCAGAUUACCAACCCCUAUCAAACUCCGAAUACCGUUAAUUGAGAGCCUGGGAGUCAGACUACGGGUGAUAAGGUCCGUGGUCGAAAGGGAAACAGCCCAGACCAUCGGCUAAGGUCCCAAAAUCAUACUAAGUGGGAAAGGAAGUGGAACCGUUAAGACAGCCAGGAGGUUGGCUUAGAAGCAGCCAUCCUUAAAAGAAAGCGUAAUAGCUCACUGGUCUAGUAGUUCUGCGCCGAAAAUGUAACGGGGCUAAGUAUGAUACCGAAGCCAUGGCCCGGCACUCAAUAUAACGACCAAGAUAGAUGAAAGAUAUGUUCAUGUUUUUUGGUAGUUAUAUUGAGUGCCGGGGGUAGGGGAGCGUCCUCUUUCAGGAUGAAGAUGAAUCGUAAGGUUUGUUGGACAGAAGAGGAGUGAAUAUGCUGGCAUGAGUAACGAUAAAACGGGUGAGAAACCCGUUCGCCGUAAACCCAAGGUUUCCAGGGUAAAGUUAAUCUUCCCUGGGUAAGUCGGCCCCUAAGGCAAGGCUGAAAAGCGUAGCUGAUGGGAAACAGGUUAAUAUUCCUGUACUUGGUAUGCAUCGUUUGAGUGAAGGAGGAACGCAGGAGGGUAGGUCAUCCAUCUGUUGGAAUAGAUGGUUUAAGGUAGUAGGGAUGAUUCAUAGGCAAAUCCGUGAAUCUCUAUCCUGAGAACCGAUGACGAGGCGUAAGCCGGAAGUGAUUGAGCCCAUGCUGCCGAGAAAAGCUUCUAAACGAGAUGUAUAUUAAACCGUACCGCAAACCAACACAGGUGGGUGGGAUGAGUAAUCCAAGGCGCUUGAGAGAACUCUGGUUAAGGAAUUCGGCAAAAUGACCCCGUAACUUCGGGAUAAGGGGUGCCACUUUUGGUGAACUUAUUCACUUUGUAAGCUGAGAGUGGUCGCAGAGAAAUGGCGGUGGCGACUGUUUACUAAAAACAUAGGGCUAUGCUAAGUCGUAAGACGCUGUAUAUGGCCUGACGCCUGCCCGGUGCCGGAAGGUUAAGAGGAGGGGUUAUCCCUUUGGGAGAAGCUCUGAAUUGAAGCCCCGGUAAACGGCGGCCGUAACUAUAACGGUCCUAAGGUAGCGAAAUUCCUUGUCGGGUAAGUUCCGACCUGCACGAAUUGAAUUCUCGGUGAAGAUGCCGAGUACCCGCAGAAAGACGGAAAGACCCUGUGCACCUUUACUAUAGCUUGACAUUGGAUUUUGGGUGAGCAUGUGUAGGAUAGGUGGGAGACUAUGAAUCAGGCACGCCAGUGUUUGAGGAGUCGCCCUUGAAAUACCACCCUUGCUCAUCUAGGGUUCUAAUCCAUCGCCGUAAACCGGCAUGGAGACAUUGUCUGGUGGGUAGUUUGACUGGGGCGGUCGCCUCCCAAAGAGUAACGGAGGCGUGCAAAGGUUCCCUC
rnacentral:rRNA from 1 species